rnacentral:rRNA from 1 species
UACGUAAGGUGCGAGCGUUAAUCGGAAUUACUGGGCGUAAAGCGUGCGCAGGCGGCGGCUCAAGUCAGGUGUGAAAUCCCCGGGCUUAACCUGGGAAUUGCGCUUGAAACUAGGUCGCUAGAGUGUGGCAGAGGGGGGUGGAAUUCCACGUGUAGCAGUGAAAUGCGUAGAGAUGUGGAGGAACACCGAUGGCGAAGGCAGCCCCCUGGGUCAACACUGACGCUCAUGCACGAAAGCGUGGGGAGCAAACAGG